UUAAAACCAGAUGAAAGAAGAUGAAAGCAUAUUUACCCUGCAUAACCUUCACACAUCAGGAACCAGAGCUGGAACCCAGAAAUACCUUUGUACUUCGAAGUUUCAGCCCAUUUCAGAGACAAGGUGAGCAAGGAAAUACUGAGGUUUUCCAUGAUGGGGGGAUGGGGAGGCAAUAAAAGCAACCUGUGAAAGUAAUUCCUUCUAAGAUGCAAUCUACCCAGCCACUAGCUCUACACAUCUCCUUCUCCUUCACCCCAUCCCAAUUGUCAGAUAUCAGCCAGGCAAGCCCCCAUACUGACAUAUGAAGUGACAGAUGGAAGCAGGCAAUAAGGGCAUAGGAAUGAGUACUGAAAGAAAUUACAUACAGAAAACAAGCUAAUAAUGGGGCAGAUCUUAAACAUGAGCAACCCUAAACCAUAAAGUUAAUUCAUUUGGCUAGAACAAUGUUGAACAGAUGCACAUGCACAUCAGACUGAGUUGGAGAGCCUUAUUCUCUCAUCACUCAUGCCAAUGUGUAGAGGUCUUCUCCUAACAUCCAUGGAAUUAAACCUUUGAAAUUUCAGUGCAAAUAAAUGGUGAAAUAAAAAUAAUCUAAGCUAAAGUACUGGCAGCAAAUAUCCUGUGCUGCUGUAUUGGGAAAGAAAGGUGGGCUGCCAGAUUUAAUUAAAAUCUGUUUAAUUUAGCUAUAGUCAUCAUCACAGUGGCCUUCAUAAAUAAAACACAUCUAAUCUACCAUAAAGAAGAAAAUUAGUUGAUUCUAUUCUUGUCUAGUUCUCCAGUCGGCUAUAUUAAUGACUUGAUUUUAGUUAAAUUAGAUGGAAAAUACAGUUGAGUUAAACUAUGUAAUAAAUACCUCUAUAGGCAGAGCAACUAGUUGAAAGAAAGUUAGGACAAACUUGUCCUAGUAUUUGUUUACAAAAUAGGCUCAGGCAGCACACUGAUGUACUCAGGGUUCCCUUACCACAAGUAUAGACAAAACCCCAAACACUUAUUAAGUCUUACACAUAACAACAGAUGGAUGAGAGAGAGGGCAUCUUUAAGCAAAGGAUAAGGUAAACAAACAGCAAUUCAUACAAGUCAAUGAAUCAGUCACUUAAUUUCAGCACAGUUAAGAGCUGACCUAGCAGAAAAGAAUUCUGACAAGCUGAGCUUCAAGAACACCUGCAUAAGAACGCUGCUCACAAAUGAAAAUAAGAAAGAAGUCUGGGAAACUGCCAGCUCCUUGCAGAAAAGACUGAAAGAUGAUGGGCAGAGAAGGGUGUUGGUAAGACAAAAAUGAUUGAAGUUGCAUCAUCUGUAUGACUAAAUUCACUGUGUGAAUUUUGAUUUUCCCCCCCUACUUUCAGACAUUUGAGGAUGCAGUCAAGUCAAUGGAGUUCUGUUGUAGUGGUUGCUUCAGUGAACAUUCAACGCUGUCGGCCUUAACACCGAAGAUAGCAACCUAACCAUCACAUGAUGUUUCUCCCUCACCCUGCCAAGCUUUACAAAAAGGUCACAAUCAACAUUCAUUGCUGUCGGUGGGUUUAACUAUGUGGACAAGCUCACUGAACAAUGAAUGCAACUGUGGCCCCACAUUGUACAGUUGCUGUUGAGAGGAGCAGCAGCUCUGAAGGCAAUAGUGAGACGCAAACACUUUUUAUAAGCUACAGGUUUUUGGUCAGAAAAAUAGUUGGGGGUAUCCCACUUUUUGCUUGCUUGGUUUUCAGUGUGUUUAACUUAGCUGCCUAGAAGAGAAAGCCUGCUGCCUUUUUCUGGGGUGUUAUCCUCACAAGGUUCAUACCACUGAAAAUGUGCAAAUUCUUAUUUAGUAUGUACGCAGAAAAAACAACAGGACAGGAUGCUCUGUAUAUCUGCUCGUAAGAACUCUGACAUAAGAGGAAGGAAUAUUUAAUUGCCAUUUAACUAGGCAUUGCUGAAGAGUUCAAAAGUUUAUUCCAUACUUGUCAUGACAAAUACAGCUGGGAACAAAUGGGAUUUAAGACUUACAAAUAAAAAUGUUAAAUAAAAAAUAUUA